CGGUAAAAUUUGCAGCACUGGGAACCUGUGAUCUAGAUCAUGCUCUCGUCAGUGUUGAAUAUGGAGGUAGGGUUUUUUCUUGCGUUUAAUCAGAGAGAAAGAAACGAGCGUUUGAUAAUAGAGUUUAGCGAUACUUGAGCUAAUGCGGCUUCAAACCACUGGAAGAAGUGGCGUUACUGCUGCUAUCAAAUCACUACUUACAUUAAGCAGCGGUUCAGACUGUUGGAGUUGCUGCUUCUGCACCUGCAGCCAGACGAAGAGACCUAAAGAGAAGAAGCUGAACAGAAACACAGCAGAGCCGACAAACACUGAUACAACACAAGCUUAGCUCUGCUGUCUAUAUUAUGUUGCACCUCAGCUGAUAUCGGACUGAAGGAAAAGGGAAGGGAAAUGAGAUUGAAAACACAAGCACAAGAACCAUGUGGAGCUCAAAGGAAGCUGAACACUGCCUGCAGUGAGACAGCAACCUCACCCUGCACCUUGAGUCUCAACUUUCUGGGUUUUGCAAGUCUUUCCAUGUUCAUUCAUUUUAAUAAACCAAACAUUAUGCUUCCCA